rnacentral:rRNA from 1 species
GACGAACGCUGGCGGCGUGCUUAACACAUGCAAGUCGAACGGAAAGGCCCUGCUUUUGUGGGGUGCUCGAGUGGCGAACGGGUGAGUAACACGUGAGUAACCUGCCCUUGACUUUGGGAUAACUUCAGGAAACUGGGGCUAAUACCGGAUAGGAGCUCCUGCUGCAUGGUGGGGGUUGGAAAGUUUCGGCGGUUGGGGAUGGACUCGCGGCUUAUCAGCUUGUUGGUGGGGUAGUGGCUUACCAAGGCUUUGACGGGUAGCCGGCCUGAGAGGGUGACCGGCCACAUUGGGACUGAGAUACGGCCCAGACUCCUACGGGAGGCAGCAGUGGGGAAUAUUGCACAAUGGGCGGAAGCCUGAUGCAGCAACGCCGCGUGCGGGAUGACGGCCUUCGGGUUGUAAACCGCUUUCGCCUGUGACGAAGCGUGAGUGACGGUAAUGGGUAAAGAAGCACCGGCUAACUACGUGCCAGCAGCCGCGGUGAUACGUAGGGUGCGAGCGUUGUCCGGAUUUAUUGGGCGUAAAGGGCUCGUAGGUGGUUGAUCGCGUCGGAAGUGUAAUCUUGGGGCUUAACCCCUGAGCGUGCUUUCGAUACGGGUUGACUUGAGGAAGGUAGGGGAGAAAGGGAAUUCCUGGUGGAGCGGUGGAAUGCGCAGAUAUCAGGAGGAACACCAGUGGCGAAGGCGAUUCUCUGGGCCUUUCCUGACGCUGAGGAGCGAAAGCGUGGGGAGCGAACAGGCUUAGAUACCCUGGUAGUCCACGCUGUAAACGGUGGGUACUAGGUGUGGGGUCCAUUCCACGGGUUCCGUGCCGUAGCUAACGCUUUAAGUACCCCGCCUGGGGAGUACGGCCGCAAGGCUAAAACUCAAAGGAAUUGACGGGGCCCCGCACAAGCGGCGGAGCAUGCGGAUUAAUUCGAUGCAACGCGUAGAACCUUACCUGGGUUUGACAUGGAUCGGGAGUGCUCAGAGAUGGGUGUGCCUCUUUUGGGGUCGGUUCACAGGUGGUGCAUGGCUGUCGUCAGCUCGUGUCGUGAGAUGUUGGGUUAAGUCCCGCAACGAGCGCAACCCUUGUUCACUGUUGCCAGCACGUUAUGGUGGGGACUCAGUGGAGACCGCCGGGGUCAACUCGGAGGAAGGUGGGGAUGACGUCAAGUCAUCAUGCCCCUUAUGUCCAGGGCUUCACGCAUGCUACAAUGGCUGGUACAGAGAGUGGCGAGCCUGUGAGGGUGAGCGAAUCUCGGAAAGCCGGUCUCAGUUCGGAUUGGGGUCUGCAACUCGACCUCAUGAAGUCGGAGUCGCUAGUAAUCGCAGAUCAGCAACGCUGCGGUGAAUACGUUCCCGGG